GAGGUUUUUCAAGGUUAUUAGUGCUUUGAACCUUUUAAGAAUGAAAAAUUGGUGUCAGAAAUUUAUAGUUUACCAAGGAAUUUUCAAUUCAACAAUUUCAAUGAAAUUCAAUGUUAUGUCAGACAUUUUGACAUUUAGCCAAAAGUCACUGAAAAGAAAACGAGAAAAUGUUUUCAAUAUCUUAUGCCAUGGUCAAUGGAGGUUUUAAACCUGAACGAUGGCCUCCAUGGUACCUUUUUAAAUAAGAAGUUCUCUUUAUCAUUGCUGCUACUAAUUUUGAUGCACUUUUGGCCAAUAAAUUAAGAUCAGACACCAAACUUUGAAUUACGUAUUUGCUAAGAAGUAAAAGUUUUUAAACGAAUUGUUAUUGUCAAUGUCACUGUCACAUAAAAUUGUCAACAUACUUAUAACCUCAAAUUAGCAGAAAAACUGGCAUACUAAGGAAUUCUAUUUUGAAUUUACAAUUAUCUUUAUUGAUUGAUUGAUUUUCAAACAGGAAAUAUGAAAAAGUAUGCUCGCAAUGUUUUGUAUGACAAACUGCAUAGAGGCAGUGUGUUAGUCUGUGUGGGUCUAACUUUGUAUGGAACAGUGCUGCUAGGUGACCAUUUUUAUAAGUACUUCAAGUAUGUACGGCCACAGAUACAGGCAUCAAAGGAAGCGGCUGAGAAGGAACUCUUGUCUGAAGGAUCUUCAGAAAGACUAAAUAUGUAAAAUACUUAUAUUGUCAGUCAUUAUGUAAACUUAGAGACUAAUUUAAGCUAUAAUUGUAAUUAGUUAGUUUUGUUUUGAUGUUAUUUUAUUAAAUCAAUGCCUGAGUAA